rnacentral:rRNA from 1 species
CUUGCUCCCUGAUGUUAGCGGCGGACGGGUGAGUAACACGUGGGUAACCUGCCUGUAAGACUGGGAUAACUCCGGGAAACCGGGGCUAAUACCGGAUGGUUGUUUGAACCGCAUGGUUCAGACAUAAAAGGUGGCUUCGGCUACCACUUACAGAUGGACCCGCGGCGCAUUAGCUAGUUGGUGAGGUAACGGCUCACCAAGGCAACGAUGCGUAGCCGACCUGAGAGGGUGAUCGGCCACACUGGGACUGAGACACGGCCCAGACUCCUACGGGAGGCAGCAGUAGGGAAUCUUCCGCAAUGGACGAAAGUCUGACGGAGCAACGCCGCGUGAGUGAUGAAGGUUUUCGGAUCGUAAAGCUCUGUUGUUAGGGAAGAACAAGUGCCGUUCAAAUAGGGCGGCACCUUGACGGUACCUAACCAGAAAGCCACGGCUAACUACGUGCCAGCAGCCGCGGUAAUACGUAGGUGGCAAGCGUUGUCCGGAAUUAUUGGGCGUAAAGGGCUCGCAGCGGUUUCUUAAGUCUGAUGUGAAAGCCCCCGGCUCAACCGGGGAGGGUCAUUGGAAACUGGGGAACUUGAGUGCAGAAGAGGAGAGUGGAAUUCCACGUGUAGCGGUGAAAUGCGUAGAGAUGUGGAGGAACACCAGUGGCGAAGGCGACUCUCUGGUCUGUAACUGACGCUGAGAGCGAAGCGUGGGAGCGAACAGGAUU